GAGAAUUCGAGGUUCUGUGUGUCCUUUUCUUCUCUUAACAUCCAAGUUCAGAAUCCUGGGAAGAGGUCCAGGAAGAGAGAGGAAAAUGUGAAUGAAGGAAAUGAACAGCUGAUUUUUACCAGGAACCCCAGCAUCAGGCCAGUCUCUUUGGACCCCAUCUUCAGAGUGGUAUCUGCAGAGAUAACCCCUACGCUGAGCUUUAAAACCUAAGCUCUCAGUCUGUGCCAGUACCAGGCUCCAGGUUUG
rnacentral:lncRNA from 1 species